CCAACAUUAUUUUUGUGCAGAUUUCAAUUCAUGCUGCACUCAUCCUGGGGGCAAAAGUUAAAGGUUUUCUAAAAAGCUACUUAGUGAAUGUCUUAGUUAAUGGAAAAGAAAAUAAGUCAAUCCUUUUUUUUCUAACCUUGAAGUUGCAAAGAUUGACAGUGAACUCUGUAAUGGUGCAUUCUCCUCUUGUGUGGUUUUUGAAAGCUGAGUUAUCCUUCCUGUAAUGAUUCUGCACCUGCAAACUAUACGUGGCUUCCUCCAGGCAGGAAAUCUACAGCCCAGGCUCCCUGCAUCUUAUGGCUCCAAUCACUUUGGAUCUCAUCGUCGCCUGCACCUUGCCAUACACAGGGAAGGAGAAGAGAUAGAGAAGGCAAAAACUUUCUGAAAGCCGUGGCUAAAAGCUGGCAUGUGUCACAUCAGUUCACAUUCCAUUGUGGAGACGGGGUUUCACCGUGUUAGCCAGGAUGGUCUUGAUCUCCUGACCUCGUGAUCCGCCCGCCUUGGCCUCCCAAAGUGCUAGGAUUACAGGCGUGAGCCACCGCUCCCGGCCUGGCAGGCAUUCUUGAGGCAAACGGGAAAUGGGUGAACGGGAGGAACAUUGGCAGCACUUGUGGUCUGCACCAAGAACUGAAUCGAAUUUCCAUGUGUUACUGAAUGUUCACAAAGACCUUGUACAGCGAGUGUUACUACCUCUGGUCAGUGAUUCAUCUCAAGGCUCAGAAAAGUCAAGUGUCUUGUCCAGGGACACUUAGUCAGAAGUGAAUCCAAGGUUUAAGCUCAAGUCUGCCUAACUCUGAAUUUCACAGCCUUUUGCUACAUAUGGCGAAUAAUAUAUCCCUGAGCACUAAAGGCAGACUCCAAGGAUCUUUUCUCUGCAAUCAUCAUUCUGGCCAUAAUUUAUGAAAAGCAACCCAAAGUAUGUGAUGUCAUAAAAAGUACUAUCUAUGAGUUUACCCUUCCAAAAAUUGAACUGAAUUCUGAGCUCUAAAUUUGGAAUCAAAAGAACUUUUCUCUGCACUAAUCAUUUGGAACAUCACUUAAAGAAAACAACGAAAAACUGGUGUCCCCUGAGAGAAAGCAAUACAAAGCAUUAUGCAUAAAGAAAUCCUUCCAAAAAAUAAACCAAAUCCAGUCAAAUCUCUAGUUUUGACUCCUAGCUUACCGGAAAUACGUGAUGGGAAAAAAAUGAAAUGACACCACUAUGAUUCAAUCAGCCAAAUCCAGCAUAUGCAAGUUUCUACCAGAUAAAUGGUUUAGUUUCUUCCCCAGACAAAUGGCACAAGGAAACGGAGGUAAGAAUGGGAUGCUGUUAUAGAUUUAAAAAGAUUUAAGAAAGUAUAAACUAAAUACACUAUGUGCAUCUUCUCUGAACGUGCUUCAAACAUAUCAAGGGGUCAAUGAGCAGUUUUGAAACAAUAAGGGAAUUUGAACACUGAAUGGUUGUCAGAAGAUAGUAAGAGAUCAUUAUUAAUUUUACUAGACAUAAUGAUGUUCUGAUUUUGUUUAUUUUUUAAAAACAGUGUUAUUUCCUUUAUAGAUACAUCAUAUAGUAUUAACUAAUGAAAUGCUUUGAUAUCUGGAACGUUUAAAAAAUAUUCCCGAUGGAGUAAGUGCAAAGAAACAGGUAAGCAAAAUGCUGAUAAUUGCUGAAACACAUGAUGUGUACCUGGGGCUUCAUUUACUAUCUCUUCAUUUUCUAUUUUGAUAUUUGUUGGACAUUCUCAUAAAAAGGAAAGUUAUGUUUUAUUUUCUCAUAAGCUAGUAAUGAAAUAGCCCUAAGUAACUGAUAUUGUAGAGACAAGAAUAGGUGUAAUAGAGCUUAAGGUUUUCAUUUAAAAAACUAUCUGUAGACUUCAAUGGAUCUUAGGUGGCAUCCAUGCAAUAACACUCGUGGAACAUGCAGGACAGGUGUGGAGCUCCAUCUUCACGCAGCGACAUUUUUUAUGCUUCUGUUUUCCCUAAGAGUGGAGUGAGAGGAUGAUUAUUUUAUAUCAUAGACUCCUUCCCUGCUAUACUUUUUUUAAUUAUUUUACUUUCACUUCUGGGAUACAUGUGCUAAGCAUGCAGGUUUGUUUACAUAGGUAUACAUCUGCCAUGGUGGUUUGCUGCACCUAUCAACCCAUCAUACAGGUUUUAAGCCCUGCAUGCAUUAGGUAUUCGCCCUAAUGCUCUCCCUCGCCUUUCCCCCCACCCCCUGAUAGCCCCCAGUGAGUGAUAUUCCCCUCCCUGUGUCCAUGUGUUCUCAUUGUUCAACUCCCAUUUAUGAGUGAGAAUAUGUGGUGUUUAGUUUUCUGUUCCUGUGUUAGUUUGCUGAGAAUGAUGUUUUCCAGCUUCAUCCAUGUCCCUGAAAAGGACAUGAACUCAUUCUUUUUUAUGGCUGCAUAGUAUUCCACGGUGUUAUAUGUGCCACAUUUUCUUAAUCCAGUCUGUCAUUGAUGGACAUUUGGGUUGUUUCCAAGUCUUUGCUAUUGUAAAUAGUGCUGCAAUAAACAUAUGUGUGCAUGUGUCUUUGUAGUAGAAUGAUUUAUAAUCCUUUGGGUAUAUACCCAAUAAUGGGACUGCUGGGUCAAAUGGUAUUUCUGGUUCUAGAUCCUUGAGGAAUUGCCACACUGUCUUCCACAAUGGUUGAACUAAUUUAUACUCCCACCAACAGGGUAAAAGCAUUCCUAUUUCUCCACAUCCUCUCCAGCAUCUGUUGUUUCCAAAUGUUUUAAUGAUUGCCAUUCCACCUGGCGUGAGAUGGUAUCUCAUUGUGGUUUUGAUUUUCAUUUCUCUAAUGACCAGUGAUGAUGAGCUUUUUUUCAUAUGUUUGUUGGCCGCAUAAAUGUCUUCUUUUGACUUUUAUGUGGAAACAAAUUUAACUGCACAGAGAGGUGAAAAUUAAUUAAUAACUUUUAAAGUAAUUCCCUAAGUUUCUAAGGAUCUAUAUGUUUCCAUCUGACUAUUUUAUUUAAGCUCUUGAUUGAUGCUGCAUUUGGAACAGGUUCAUGAACAUGAAUAGAGUUAAUCUGGGACAGAUUUCCCUCAUUUGAUUUUUUCACUGUUUCCAUCACAGAACUUAUUUCAUGCUCACUAUGUUUGCAGGCAUUGAGCUUGGUACUGGAGCCACAGAGCUGGAUCAGACAGACUUGUGCAAAUAUUUCAGGUUUUUCUUGUGGGGGGGUCAUAUUUAUAGAUAAAUAACAGUAAAGAGUGACGGGUUCUUAUGAAAAUGCAUACACAGUGAAGUAGAGGGUGAAAAGGAGGGAUGUGUCCUAUGAGGAGGAAGAGUGAUCAGAAAGUGUAAGGGGAUGUGUCUGUGUCUAGACAUAUGUGUGUUCACGUGUGUGCGUGCUUGUGUGUACUGCAUGUGUAUACGUGUGGCCAUGCACCUGUGUGCAUGUUCAUGUGUGUGUGUGUAUGUGUCUGUGUUGAGGACUAAAUUGGGCUUAUGGAAGCAGGGAGCCACUGAUAGGUUUAAUUAGAGACUGACAUGAUACGAUAGUUUAGGUGGAUUUCUCUGAGGGCUGUGUUGAGGGACAGUGGGGAGGAGAGCUAGAAGGAAGAAAAGGACACAUGCAUAACAGAAGCAAUAUCUGUCUAUGGGAUGGUGGAAAGAAUCAGAAAAGACUUAAUAAAACAUGUGACACUUUAACUGAAUCUUGAAAUAGACAAGUGUUGGAGGAGGGAGUUGGACCAGAUACUUCAUGCAAAGGGAAGAAAAGUGCACAAACAAAAUAUGAGAAACAAGGCAGACAGGCAUUUUUUAAAAAUUUUCACACCCACUGAUAGACCAGUGAUGCAUUCACAUCGUCUGCAUUCAUGAUCAACAAAAGUGCUUUCCCAGAACAUGAACCUCAACCCAAGUGUCACCUCAAGUAGUGUAUGCAUGAACUCAAGCAUUAAAUUAGAAUUGAUUUUUUUAAAAACUCACACAAACAGAUGUAUUAUUUAAAAAUCUUUAAAGCAGGUUUAAACAGUUUUCAGGAUUAAAAGCAGCCACUAUUAGAAAGAAUAAAAAUACAUUUGACAUAAAUAUAAGGAGCCUCAAUAGAACCUCCUGUACCCAGUCAUUGUCAAUGCCACAUCCAUUCAUUCACCAGCCCUUAUAUCGAUGCUUGCUGGGCUCACUUACCACGAUCAGCACCUGCAUGUCCUUACCUGAAAGCUUGCCACUCAAAUGUGCUCAGUCUUACCAGUGUGGCUGGGAGUGUUGGGGAUUUAAUGUCAAGGGAAACAAUCUUCCAUCAAUGAAUGAUGAAAGUUAGUUUUCACAACUUCCGGUCCCCUUGGCCCUCAUCAAAGGGCUUCAGGAGGUGAGGUUUGGGCUUCUUGCUAUCCUCCGAGUUUCCACGGUAGUUUUAAGCACCAUUGCCCGUGGUAAUGGCUGACAUUGAUACUGCACUUUUUUUUUUUUUUUUUUUUUUGAGAUGGAGUUCCCCUCUGCCACCCAGACUGGAGUACAGUGGCACGAUCCUGGCCAUUGUAACCUCCACCUCCCAGAUCCCUCCUACAACACAUGAGAAUUGUGGGUGCUACAAUUCAAGAUGAGAUUUGAGUGGGGACAAAGUCAAACCAUAUCAUUAGAUAAGACACUGGAGAAAGGCAAGAAAGAAAAGACAUCUGAAGAAUGAAGGGAGCCAAAGAAAUGCCAACAUUUUGCUUUUUGAAGAAAAGCUAAAUUAAAGUCAAAAUGGAUUUAUCAAUUUCCUUGGGUUCGUGAAUGUACAGAACUUUAUUAAGACUGUCAUGCUGUCAUCAUGGCUGGAUCUGAUACGGCCACCGUGGACCUUGAGGUGACCUCGGGAAUGGAGACAGUGCAUGGGAGAGAAUCACAUUGGAAGGGGCCUGGGUUUCUGAAGACCCUGUAAGACAGAUCUCCUUGCAGCCCUGACUGCCCACAUUAGGGCUUUUAUGUUAGGGUGAAGUUACCUUGCAUUGUCAUAUAAGCAAUUGCUAUCUGUGGUGUCUUGCAAAUAAACCUAUUCUGAUCU
rnacentral:lncRNA from 1 species